GGAUCAUUACAGAGCCACUCAUGCCCUCCGGGUAGAUCUCCCACCCAUUGCUAUAACUACUCUCGUUGCUUUGGCGGGCCGCUGGGCCCUGCCCGGCCGCCGGCCCCGGCUGGCGCGUGCCCGCCAGAGACCUCACAGACUCUGAAUGUUAGUGUCGUCCGAGUAACUAUAUAAUCGUUAAAACUUUCAACAACGGAUCUCUUGGUUCUGGCAUCGAUGAAGAACGCAGCGAAAUGCGAUAAGUAAUGCGAAUUGCAGAAUUCAGUGAGUCAUCGAAUCUUUGAACGCACAUUGCGCCCUGUGGUAUUCCGCAGGGCAUGCCUGUUCGAGCGUCAUUUCAACCCUCAAGCCUCGCUUGGUGUUGGGCCCUGCCCGCCGCGGCCGGCCCUAAAGACAGUGGCGGCGCCGCCUGGCCCUCAGCGUAGUACAUCUCUCGCUCCAGGGGUCCGGCGGCAGCCUGCCAGAACCCCCCAACUCUGUGGUUGACCUCGGAUCAGGUAGGGAUACCCGCUGAACUUAA
rnacentral:rRNA from 1 species